rnacentral:lncRNA from 10 species
CUUUACCAGUCCAAAUGCUAUACCGGUUAAACUCCGCCAUUUUGCCUCUUAGUGCUCAUGCUUGAGCCCGCUUGCCCAACUCCUGAGAUGUCAUCGGGAAGCUGCUGAUCAGCAAUUACAGCAAGCAGUCACCGUCUAUGAACUAGAAAGCUGAUUCACCAGACACCGAAUCUGCCAGCACCUUGGUCUUGGACUUCCCAGCCUCCAGAACUAGGAAAUGUUCCAACACAUCUGAGGAAACACAUGCCUUCCCAGACUGGCCUGUUGCUGUUUCCCAGGAGCUGCAUUCUGGAAGGUGGACCAUCAGGUGGAAGAAGUAUUCUUCAGAGAGCUGCCUUCCCAAGGGAAUGGUGACAGCUUGCGCUUGCCGGGGAGUCCUGCUGCCUUCCGAGGUGUGAAGGGAAGGCAUGCACUGUGCAUAUGCUGUACCAUACAGUUUUGCCUACAACUGCUUGUAGCUUCAUUGUAGCUGUGAAUGCUCCGUUCCUCUCCUUUUCACCCCUGAAGAUUCGCGAACAUGCAGGAUUGAGCUGUGCGAGGCAUAGCAUUCCCCACAUGGUAGACGAA